GCAGCCUUGGCAAUUAAUUCUUUUAAAAAUCUUAACAACCUGAAUGGUAAUAUACUCUACAUAUUCCAUUUGUAUUCUACUUUAAAUGUACUAUUAUUCUAUGUCCUCUUUGUGAUUUCAGUUUAGCUCCAUUCAGUCCUGAAUUCUGCAUGAGUCUCAUGACCAUGUGAAUGUCUUCUUAUAUCUGCUCCAUCUGCUUCAUCUCUGAAAGGUAAUCCAUCUAAUGUGGGUUAAAUACAACCCAUGAGAGAGAGAGAGAGAAAUACAUGUGUAAAUGUGCUCAUCUGAACACAUGCAUGCAUUAUUAGUCAUAAAUGUUAAGUGUGUCUUUUCUGCCAGCCAGGUACAAUUAUAAUCUAACACCAGUGUCAGACCCCCUCCUCUCCCUUUUCCUCUGAUCCAAUCAUCUUCUCCUACAUCCGUUCUCCACUAAUCAUUUUGGCCCUCCUCACAGUCACAGCAGAAACCAAACUAAAGGACCUCCAAACUCUGCAGGGCGAUGAUGGAUGUCUUGCAGUUGUCGGGUCCAAAUCAGAGUCCAGGACAGUACAGAAAAUGGGACACAGAUGGGAUGUUUGUGCUACCGCCUGAAAGAAACACAUGAAAGAUAUAUCCCACUAUCUCCUUCUCUUUUCUUCAAAAUAUGCAUAAUUUACCUACAAUAACAGAAUUCAGUCUUGCUGUGUGAGAGACCUAAUAUUAAUAUUUUAAUUUCUAGAAUAAAAUGUAAGUGCAAAACUCGCCACCACAAUGAUACACUGGUACAAAAGCUGUCACUGGGGUGGUACCUUUUCAAAUAGUACACUUUUCUACCUAAACAAUAAGUACCUAAAGUGUACAUAUUAGUAUGAAAGGUACCGCCCAGUGACAGCUUUUGUAUCCUUUUCUCUGAGAGUGUAGGGUUUUGAUGAAGGUUGGCAUGAUGAGUCGAUGGGUGCAGUUGUCUUCCCUUUCUUGACUAAAAAUAAAAAAUUGUUUGCAGUGUGAUCAGAAGGUAGAGUUUCUUUUGUAAAAUGCAAUAAAAGUAAUAGACAUCUAUUAGAAGUUUAGACUUUUAAGCAGUGCUAAUACAAGACAUUUACAUUUAGAGACCAUAAAGACAUAUUUUUUCCAUUCAACUUUUUUGGUUUUAAAAGUUCUUAAAUUUACCUUCAUAAAACGUCCAGAAACACCUCCAGAGAGCCUCUGUUUGGACAGAAAUCUGUCUCUCUUUAAAUUAUGUUUUUGUUUGUUUAGCUUACAGAUUAACUCGAAGACAACAGACAUCAAAUAAAAGCCACACAACUGCAAUUUUGGGAUCUUAAAGCACUGUCUUCUCUCAUUUCAAGGUUUUAUAUAAAACAGACUGUAUUAUAUAGUUUUAUUGAUCCCAUCCUUUGCUGCCUUUCUCUCUUCAGUCUCCAUCUCUCUCUCUCUCAGAGCGGGGCGGGUGAGUGGGGUCAUCAUACGGUCACUGCGCUUCACCAGGCUAGACUGCGACUCAGAGCUGCAGAACAUGACAGUGUGCAUUAGUGUAGAGCUGAACGGAGAGAGAGAGAGAGAGAGAAGUGCAGUAUAAAAGAACCAGUAGGAUGAGAAACUCAUGGAGACUAUGAGAGAGAGAGUGGACAUCAGCGCACUUACAUGAACCCAGCUCAAGAUGAGCCCUGCAAAAUGUGAUUCAUCAAAUAUGGAUGCACUUUGUGUGGAUCUUUUAGAUAAAGUUCAAGGAACAGCCAUCCAUCACCCACACAGAUUAUUUUCUCAUUCAAUUCAGUUUUGAAAUCGAAGUGGAUCAUGUUUAUUUUCUAAAUGUGUCUUCCUGGUCCUGCUGUGGUUGAUUUGGUAUAGUACAUGCUGCUCCUAAUAAUUAGUCUACAAAAUACUUCACUUUUUGGAUGAUGUAAUCUUACUUUUUUAAAGGUUUUCUGAAAUAUAAAAACAGUGGAAACACUUUACAAUUAGGUAAUGCACUUUAGGCCGCAGUGUUGUUUUCUGAUACUAAAGUUUUUAUUCAUACUUUGAGUUUUUAUUUUUACAUUCCAUUUUAGAAUUUUAGUUAAAGUUUUAGUAAUUUUGUUGUGUGUUUUGUAAUUGUCUAUUAUAUAGUUUUUAUUGAUUUGUAUUUUGCUUUUAAACUAAUGAGAAUAAGAAAUGUUGCCUUGUCAACUAGUUGAAAAAGUUUAUUUUUAGUGUAUUUUAUUUUAACUCAGUUAAUGUUUAUUUUCAUAAAAGUAAUUUAAAAAAGUUUUAGUUUUAUAAUAAUUUGUCAUAAUCAUUCAAUUGUCAUUUAAAGUUUUUAAUAUUUUUAUUUCAGUUUUAGUUUGUGAUAUUUUGGUAUUAAGUU
rnacentral:lncRNA from 1 species